AUGGGGAAGCGGGACAAUCGGGUGGCCUACAUGAACCUAAUAGCAAUGGCCAGAUCAAGGGGUCCAAUCCAGUCUUCAGGGCCAACGAUCCAGGAUUAUCUGAAUCGACCAAGGCCUACCUGGGAAGAAGUGAAAGAGCAACUAGAAAAGAAAAAGAAAAGCUCUAAGGCUUUGGCUGAAUUUGAAGAAAAAAAUGAAUGAGAACUGGAAGAAAGAACUAGAAAAACACAGGGAGAAAUUGUUAAGUGGAAGUGAGAGCUCAUCCAAAAAAAGACAGAGAAAGAAAAAAGAAAAGAAGAAAUCUGGUAGGUAUUCCUCUUCUUCUUCAUCAAGCUCUGAUUCUUCCAGCAGUUCUUCGGAUUCUGAAGAUGAGGAUAAGAAACAAGGAAAAAGGAGAAAGAAAAAGAAGAAUCGUUUACAUAAAUCUUCUGAAAGCUCCAUGUCAGAAACUGAAUCAGACAGUAAGGAUAGUUUAAAGAAGAAAAAGAAGUCAAAGGAUGCAACUGAGAAGGAAAAGGAUGUUAAAGGUCUCAGCAGAAAAAGAAAGGUGUAUCUUGAAGACAAAACUUUAUCAUCUGAGUCUUUCUCAGAAGCAGAUUAUAUAGAGGAGGUACGAGCAAAAAAGAAGAAAAGCAGUGAAGAAAGAGAAAAAACAACAGAAAAAACAAAAAAGAAAAAGAAGCAUAAGAAACAUAGUAAGAAGAAGAAAAAGAAGGCUGCUAGUUCAAGUCCUGACUCACCGUAACAUUAAGAAAAAUCAGGAUUCCCUUCUAAUGUCUAAGGAAAUUUCAACUGUGAAAAUUAUAGCAUAUUUACUAACAUGCAUGAAUUUUCUUGUUUUUACAGUUAUCCAGGGAUUAUUCAGUAGCCACUCAGAUGCCUCUGUGUGCAAGGGCCGUAAUCGCUGCCUGCUGCUUGACCAUCUAUUUUUUCCUCUUCUGUGCUUGAUAACUCUGGGAGAUUAUACACUGCAGUCGUACUAGUGGUUAAGCUAUUCAGGAAUAAAGUUAAUAAUUUUUAACUAGAAGGGUCUAAUGAUAAAGUCAACAGAAAUCGAAUCUGGCAGCAUCUUUAAGGUGUAAUCAGAAAUGACCAGCUGACUCUAGUUAGAAUUUUUAAAGUAGGGAUUACAUUGAUAUUUCAACAUCUGUAGAUAAGUGUAUGUUAAUUUUUUCCCCUUCCAUACUUCUUUUUACCUGAGAAAGGAGCUUUUUGGGGGGUGGGGUUUGUAAUCUCUUUAGCUAGCAGAGCAGUGUGCCUUUGAUGCUCAUACAUCCUAUUUUUGUGGACACAGAGCCAUGUUUCAUGGGGAGGUCAGAGCUGGAUCCCAGCAGUCUUGCCCUUGCUGAGCUUAGUGACAUCCUUGGACUCUGUCAUAUGCUGCUUUGAGUGAACCAGAGAAACCAUUGCAGCAUGAGAAAUCCCCAAAAGCUCUGAGAUUUACCUCCACUUCAAUAAUA